GUUUGGGUGAUGACUUCAUGAUUUGUCGGAUACCCCUUCACUCUGCAUAUGAGUGAGAACAGCAGUCUGACAAAC
rnacentral:snoRNA from 1 species